GAUGAACGCUGGCGGCGUGCUUAACACAUGCAAGUCGAGCGAGAAGUUUUGAAAAGAUUCUUCGGAUGAAAUUUAAAAUGGAAAGCGGCGGACGGGUGAGUAACGCGUAGGCAACCUGCCCCAUACAAAGGGAUAGCAUUUGGAAACGAAUAUUAAUACCUUAUGAAACUUAACUAGUGCAUGCUAGGUAGGUCAAAGAUUUAUCGGUAUGGGAUGGGCCUGCGUCUGAUUAGCUAGUUGGUGAGGUAACGGCUCACCAAGGCGACGAUCAGUAGCCGACCUGAGAGGGUGAACGGCCACAUUGGAACUGAGACACGGUCCAAACUCCCACGGGAGACAGCAGUGGGGAAUAUUGCACAAUGGGGGAAACCCUGAUGCAGCAACGCCGCGUGAACGAUGAAGGCCUUUGGGUCGUAAAGUUCUGUUCUAGGUGAUGAAAACUGACAGUAACCUAGGAGAAAGCCCCGGCUAACUCCGUG
rnacentral:rRNA from 1 species